UCACUGCUGAAGAGUCCCACAACAGGAUGAAACGGCCGUCCAGUGC
rnacentral:hammerhead_ribozyme from 1 species